UACGUAGGUGGCAAGCGUUGUCCGGAAUUAUUGGGCGUAAAGCGCGCGCAGGUGGUUUCUUAAGUCUGAUGUGAAAGCCCACGGCUCAACCGUGGAGGGUCAUUGGAAACUGGGAGACUUGAGUGCAGAAGAGGAUAGUGGAAUUCCAAGUGUAGCGGUGAAAUGCGUAGAGAUUUGGAGGAACACCAGUGGCGAAGGCGACUAUCUGGUCUGUAACUGACACUGAGGCGCGAAAGCGUGGGGAGCAAACAGGAUUAGAUACCCGU
rnacentral:rRNA from 1 species